AUGGUGCACAUUCUACCAAUGUGGGCUUUGAACAAAACAACCAGGAACUGGUGGAAAGUUCCAAUACAAGGAUACAAGACGGCAAUGAGGUUUCCCCUUCGAUUCUGAAGGUUGAUGGAGCACAUUCUACCAAUGUGGGCUUUGAACAAAACAACCAGGAACUGGUGGAAAGUUCCAAUACAAGGAUACAAGACUGCAAUGAGGUUUCCCCUUCGAUUCUGAAGGUUGAUGGAGCACAUUCUACCAAUGUGGGCUUUGAACAAAACAACCAGGAACUGGUGGAAAGUUCCAAUACAAGGAUACAAGACGGCAAUGAGGUUUCCCCUUCGAUUCUGAAGGU